GGAAACAAGUACACGACUGUUUCAGUUUGUCACUAUCAUUACUUCUGCUGCUGCUAUUACUUCCAGCCUCACCAUCGCCACAGGCAAACCUUGACUGAGCCCUUACUCUGAGGCAAGGGCUUUAGGGGCAGAAUCUGGGUUAAUCUUCUUCACCCCAGGAGUCAGUCCUCUCAUUAUGCCAGCUUUACAGAUGAAGAAAUAGAAACUCGGGGACAUUUAGAAACACGGCCAAAUUCACAGUUAGUAAGUGGCAGAGCUGGAAUAUGAAGCCAGGCAGUCUGGUUUCUUGACCGUUCUUAAUCACUGCUAAUUACUGAGAAAUAAAGGAUAACAGGUAGCAAACGAUGGGCAGCUGACCACAGCAAAACUUAGAGUAAGUCACUCGUGAUGUCACAGCUUCACACAGUGGGAUCAGGCGUCUCGUGGUCUCGCUUCCCCAGUUCCUUCUUCAAAGCUCUAGAAGGACUUGUUGGUCUAGGUUUCAUCUGGAAAAUCCUCCUCCCCCUCCCCCACUGCCUACAGAGUUGGGGGCUAGAGUCACGCUGUCCGGUUUCAGCUGGGGUGGGAGUGGGCUGCCCUCACUGCCUGACUGUGGGCUCUGCAGCCUCUUUCAGAACCUCCUCCUCAGUUUCCACUCUGCUUAGGGCCUCCUGGUUGCCCCCUGGCCCUUCUACUCGGCAACUGCUUGAAUCUAAUCCAGAUGGACAAAGUGCUUCAGACGCAGUAGGAAAAGAACAAGGGCUGUCCAGAAGAAUGUCAGUCUGAGAUAAAUCGCAUGUCAGGAAGAGAAAAUCCACUGUGUUAAGAACCAUGAAAUCUGUAGGCCCAGACAAAUUAUGUCCUAGGAUGUGGGUUGCAAACUUU
rnacentral:lncRNA from 1 species